rnacentral:rRNA from 1 species
GAUGAGCGCUGGCGGCGUGCCUAAUACAUGCAAGUCGAACGCUGGAGCUCUAGCUUGCUAGAUCGAAGGAGUGGCGAACGGGUGAGUAAUACAUAAGCAACCUACCCACGAAGACUGGGAUAAUCUCUGGAAACGGGGACUAAUACCGGAUAGGUAAUCGGAAGGCAUCUUCUGGUUAUUAAAGGUUAAAAACACUGGUGGAUGGGCUUAUGGCGCAUUAGUUAGUUGGUGAGGUAACGGCCCACCAAGACGAUGAUGCGUAGCCGGCCUGAGAGGGUGAACGGCCACAUUGGGACUGAGACACGGCCCAGACUCCUACGGGAGGCAGCAGUAGGGAAUUGUCGGCAAUGGGGGCAACCCUGACCGAGCAACGCCGCGUGAGUGAAGACGGCCCUCGGGUUGUAAAGCUCUGUUGUAAGGGAAGAACGGUAGAUAGAGAAUAUCUAAGUGACGGUACCUUACCAGAAAGCCACGGCUAACUACGUG